AGUCGUAACAAGGUUUCCGUAGGUGAACCUGCGGAAGGAUCAUUACAGCGUUUGGGUCCCCUCGGGGGCCCGACCACCCACCCUUUGCAGUACAAACGAAACGUUGCUUUGGCGGGCCGGCCCUCCGGCCGCCGGACCCCUCUCGGGGUCUGGACAGCGCCCGCCAGAGGACCAAAAAACACAAGCCUUUGAACGAUCGUCAGAGUUUUAAUACAAUAAAUCAAAACUUUCAACAACGGAUCUCUUGGUUCUGGCAUCGAUGAAGAACGCAGCGAAAUGCGAUAAGUAAUGUGAAUUGCAGAAUUCAGUGAAUCAUCGAAUCUUUGAACGCACAUUGCGCCCCCUGGCAUUCCGGGGGGCAUGCCUGUUCGAGCGUCAUUACAACCCUCAAGCCCAGCUUGGUCAUGGGCCCCUCGUCGCCUGUCCGCAGGCGGCGUGCCCCAAAACAGUCGGCAGGACCUCGUGUACCGCCGGGCGUAGCAGAUUGUAACGUCCGUGGCGAACGCGAACCGCGCCGUGAAAACCAGGGGGGAGUCAAAUCCCUCCGACCCACACAGGUUGACCUCGGAUCAGGUAGGGAUACCCGCUGAACUUAAGCAUAUCAAUAAGCGGAGGAAAGGAAACCAACAGGGAUUGCCCUAGUAACGGCGAGUGAAGCGGCAAGAGCUCAAAUUUGAAAUCUGGCCUCCAUUGGGGGUCCGAGUUGUAAUUUGUAGAGGAUGCUUUUGGGUUGCGGCCGGUCUAAGUUCCUUGGAACAGGACGUCACAGAGGGUGAGAAUCCCGUACGUGAUCGGCAAGCGCCCUCCGUAAAGCUCCUUCGACGAGUCGGGUUGUUUGGGAAUGCAGCCCUAAAUUGGAGGUAAAUUUCUUCUAAAGCUAAAUACCGGCCAGAGACCGAUAGCGCACAAGUAGAGUGAUCGAAAGAUGAAAAGCACUUUGGAAAGAGAGUUAAAAAGCACGUGAAAUUGUUGAAAGGGAAGCGCUUGCGAUAAGUCUCGACGGCGGCCGUUCCCCUCGUCUUCUGACGGGGUCACUUGGUCGCCGCCGGGCCAGCAUCGGUUCUGGCGGUCGGACAAAGGUCGCGGGAACGUGGCUCCCUCGGGAGUGUUAUAGCCCGCGACGUAAUACGACCAGCCGGGACCGAGGUCCGCGCUUCGGCUAGGAUGCUGGCGUAAUUGUCGUAAGCGGCC
rnacentral:rRNA from 1 species